UUGAACGCUGGCGGCAGGCCUAACACAUGCAAGUCGAGCGCGAAAACACUUCGGUGUGAGUAGAGCGGCGGACGGGUGAGUAAUGCUUGGGAAUCUGCCCAGUAGUGGGGGAUAACGUGUGGAAACGCACGCUAAUACCGCAUACGUCCUACGGGAGAAAGCAGGGGAUCUUCGGACCUUGCGCUAUUGGAUGAGCCCAAGUCAGAUUAGCUAGUUGGUGAGGUAAUGGCUCACCAAGGCGACGAUCUGUAGCUGGUCUGAGAGGAUGAUCAGCCACACUGGGACUGAGACACGGCCCAAACUCCUACGGGAGGCAGCGGUGGGGAAUCUUGC
rnacentral:rRNA from 1 species